rnacentral:sRNA from 1 species
AUAACAUUGUAGCGCCUAAGACAUAAAUUUUUAUCCAAGUCUAAAUGCAAUAUGUAACAAACAAGCUAGAAACACAUAUGCAGGUAUGUUCAUCAGUAACAUGUAAUGAAUCAAAUCAAUAUCAUUCAUGUUCGAUGAUUUCUUCGCAUUGUUUCUAGCUUUAAUUUAUCAUUAUUUAAUUUUAAUAACCAAGGAGAUGAUAACGUCAUUCUUUAGU